CAUCUUUAUAUUUAUAUAAAGAAGGAUCCCAAAGAGGAUGACGUGUAGCCUCUCAAAUCUCCUCUUUUACAUUUCCUCAAUUCCUAGACUCCCAUGUCUAUUUUCUCUCAAAUGAUAGGAUUUCAGUGUUAGUUAAUUCUGGAAUUUUGAAAUUCCAGGCAGAAAUCGAAAAGUCUCCUGUUAAUGUAUUACUCUAACUUUACUACUUCAUUCAGUUACAUAUUUGUAAAGGCUGAAACUCUGAGUAUUUAGCUUCAGCUCCACACCUCAAAGCUAACAUAUUUCGCUUCCGGUGUUGCUCCUACGAUGAUUACGUUAAUCAAGUAAUUUCAACGGCGUUCCCUGACUUCCACUCCUCCAAUUUUGUCGAUGCCAAU
rnacentral:lncRNA from 1 species